AUGGUCAUCUCUAGGAGCAAGGGGUAUCCCAACCUUUACAUCAAAAGCAAAGCUUUUGUAGUAACACGUUUCUUGCAAGGUUCAGAGAAGCCUUGGCCAAUGCAGAUUCCUGAUGAAAUACUGCCUUGCCAGGGCUUCCAAGCUUUGUUGGGGAAGGAGCAGAAACAUUCCCAGAGAACUGCCACACCAAGGCAGCGGCAAAACCGCCUCACCGGCCUCAGGAGUCAUGCUGGCGACACGUGGGCCUCCUCCGCUGGGAAUCUCCUGAUAAACAAUGAAGAUGUGGAUGCCUUGAUGAAGAGCCUGCAGGUCAAAUCUUCGCCUAUGGUAAAUGAUGGUGUGGUUCGUUUGAGAGGACUUCCUUAUAGUUGCAACAAGAAAGACAUUGUAGACUUCUUUGCAGGACUGAAUACAGUUGACGUUACUUUUGUGAUGGACUACAGAGGGGGACGAAAGACAGGGGAAGCCUAUGUGCAAAUUGAAGAACCAAAAAUGGCCAACCAAGCCCUGUUGAAACACGGGGAAGAAAUUGGUAAUCGAUACAUCAAGAUAUAUCCAAGCAGAAGGAAUGAAGUUCGAACACAUGUUGGUUCUCAUAAGGGAAAGAAAAUGGCAUCUUCUCCUACUGCUAAGUAUAUAACUGAGCCAGAAAUGGUCUUUGAAGAACACGAAGUAAAUGAGGAUAUUCAACCCAUGACAGCUUUUGAAAGUGAGAAAGAAAUAGAAUUGCCCAAGGAGGUGCCAGAAAAGCUUCCAGAGGCUGCUGAUUUUGGAACUACGCCUUGUCUGCAUUUUGUCCACAGGACCUUUCCGAGCCAAUGCCCAAGACAUUAUAAACUUUUUCGCUGCACUGAAGCCUGUUAGAAUCACCAUGGAAUACAGCUCCAGUGGGACGGCCACUGGAGAAGCUGAUGUGCACUUUGAGACCCAUGAGGAUGCUGUUGCAGUGAUGCUCGAGGAUCGGUCCCACGUUCAUCAUAGGUAUAUUGAACCGUUCCUGAAUUCUUGUCCAAAAGGAAAAUUAGACUUCAGGGGCUCCAGAUAAUAAGAAUGAAGCAAGAAGCAUUUCAUUUGCACAUCUUUCUUGGACAUGGGAUAUACAAUUCCAGUUUAUUAGCAGCAACUGCUGGGGAAUUGAUUUUGGUGUUUUGGGUUAAUUGCUUCUAAGAAAAAUUUCAUAAUGGUCUGCUUAGAAGAAGAAAUGAAAGAUCCAGUUUGGGAUUAUGAAAUAAAUCACAAAUUAAAACUCUUAUUUAAACUGUCCAGGAUCUGAUUUAAAAAUAUGAUCUUUAUUUCAUAUGAUUAAACAGUUUGUUUUCAUAGAUGAUAUGUUAUCCAUUGUAAAGACUAAUAUUUUUAUUUAGCAGUAUUCCUUAAACUCUUUCAUUUAAAAAAUAAUAUUCUUUUUUUUUUUUCCCCUGUGAAUUGAGUGCUCUGAUGUAAAACUUCUCAUGGAGUGAAACAGUGAUUUAUUUUAACCAAACAUUCACCAAAGCAAAGAAAGUUUUCAGACCUUUGAACUGGUAUGGUUUGGCAGAAUAGUUUUAAAUUUUGCUGUAUUUGAUUACUUAGAGAGAUAGGAAUUUUAAAAAAUCAAAACAAAAAAUAAAUAACACACUUUAGCGAGUGUAAAUGACAGUUUGGCAGUUUUAUGUCUUUAGAAAUGUUUUGCCUUUCUAAGCCUGUGUAAAGGUGUUUAAUGUUGGUGCCUAUUUACUUAAGGGACAUUCUAGUCUUUACUUAAAAGUUGUCUGAACUGUCCCUCCCUGGCUUUUUUUGGUUUGGGGUAAACCUAAGGAUGUUUGUUAGUCUCAAAACUGUGAAGUGGCAUGUCAGAACAGUCCAGACUGGUGAGAAAAUUAAUGGCUUCACUUGAAUUUAAACCAGCUCUAGAUAGGAAACAAUCAGUCUCCUCAUUUGCUUUUACAAUGGAGUAGCACAUCCCAUAUUUUAGAACGAGUAGGGGUGCCUUGAUUAAGUAAAAAUAGCAUUUGAUGUAUAAUUGCGUGAAGGGUUUAUGGAUAAAGCUGUACUUCUGUCACAGUGUGGCAGUACAUUCUGCUUUAAUAUUAAACAGCUUGUUAUUUAAAUAUUGGACAAAAUGGCUGGCUUCAAAAUGUAGUCAUUAAUAAACUAAAGCUUUAUGUGCACCUGUGUAGGAGAAUCAAAAUCCUGUGUACUUUCUUUGCCUUGUUCCUGCUCUCAGGGUGACGACUGCCACCAGGAGAUGCAAUUCUAGUUCUUAAAAUAUUUGCCCAGAUUUCUGAGAGGUGAUAUCUGGAAGAGAGACUAUGUCUUCUCUUAUUUAAUACAUAACCAUCUUUGAUUACCAGCUAAGAUGCUAAAUCACUGUACUGUAAGUAGUCAAUAAGUGAAGAUUUUUUUCAGGCUGAAGAU